rnacentral:rRNA from 1 species
UUCCGGGGAAAGGGAGGCCUCUGAUACAAGCUUUCGCCUUAAGAUGAGCCCAUGGCCCAUCAGCUAGUUGGUAGGGUAAAGGCCUACCAAGGCUACGACGGGUCGCUGGUCUGAGAGGACGACCAGCCACACUGGCACUGAGAUACGGGCCAGACUCCUACGGGAGGCAGCAGUGAGGAAUAUUGCGCAAUGGGGGAAACCCUGACGCAGCAACGCCGCGUGUGGGAAGAAGGCCUUCGGGUCGUAAACCACUUUUGCACGGGACGAAAAAGGGAUAUCGAACAAAUAUCCCCGAUGACGGUACCGUGAGAAUAAGCCACGGCUAACUCUGUGCCAGCAGCCGCGGUAAGACAGAGGUGGCAAGCGUUGUUCGGAAUUACUGGGCGUAAAGAGUCUGUAGGUGGUUUGUCAAGUCUUUGGU